rnacentral:rRNA from 1 species
UACAGAGGGUGCGAGCGUUAAUCGGAAUUAUUGGGCGUAAAGGGCGCGUAGGCGGUUUGUCGCGUCUGCUGUGAAAACGCGAGGCUCAACCUCGCGCCUGCAGUGGGUACGGGCAGACUAGAGUGCGGUAGGGGAGACUGGAAUUCCUGGUGUAGCGGUGAAAUGCGCAGAUAUCAGGAGGAACACCGAUGGCGAAGGCAGGUCUCUGGGCAUUAACUGACGCUGAGACACGAAAGCGUGGGUAGCAAACAGG